CCGAGUUCAUUGCAAGAACACAAAUAUAGCGUUUAAAAAUGGCUUCGAAUUUACAAACGAACAAUUUUCACGAAGCUUUUGACCUCAAAGAGGAGCUCGGAAAGUGAGUAUACGAUGCUUUAGAUAGAAAAGAAUUAAUACUUAAUCUUCCGUAGGGGAUUUGAGCGGCGUGAGUUAGUAUAAAGACGGCAAGAGAUCAAUUUAUAUUCGACUCUUUGUAGAGGGGCUUUUAGCGUCGUGAGACGAUGUGUUCACAAGGAGACGAAAGUCGAAUAUGCGGCCAAGAUUAUCAACACAAGAAAGCUUUCUUCUAGAGGUACGUUUGGGGCAAUAAAACCAUUCGUAUAUAUGCAUUCAAAUACG